CUGCGGGGUGAUAGAAUGCAAGUCGAACGGACCAGUUAAUUUAUUAAUUGGUUAGUGGCGAAAGGGUGAGUAAUAGAUAGGUAACGUGCCCCAUGCUCUGGGAUAGCCAUUCGAAAGGAUGGGUAAUACCGGAUAAUAUCACCGGCCGAUGGGUCGGUGAUCAAAGAUUCAUCGGCAAGGGAGCGGCCUAUCUCCUAUCAGCUAGUUGGUGAGGUAACGGCCCACCAAGGCGAAGACGGGUAGCGGGACUGAGAGGUUGGCCCGCCACAUCGGGACUGAGACACUGCCCGGACCCCCACGGGGGGCUGCAGUAACGAAUCUUGGGCAAUGGGCGAAAGCCUGACCCAGCGACGCCGCGUGCGGGAGGAAGUCCUUCGGGAUGUAAACCGCUGUCAGGGCUAAGAAAGUGCGCUUCGGCGCAUUGAUCUGGCCCAGAGGAAGUCACGGCUAACUUCGUGCCAGCAGCCGCGGUAAGACGAAGGUGGCAAGCGUUGUUCGGUAUCACUGGGCUUAAAGCGUGUGUAGGCGGAAGCGUAAGCGUUGUGUGAAAUCCCUCGGCUUAACCGAGGCAUGGCAUGGCGAACUGCGCUUCUUGAGGCAGGUAGGGGUGCGCGGAACUCUUGGUGGAGCGGUGGAAUGCGUAGAUAUCAAGAGGAACGCCGGUGGAGAAGUCGGUGCACUGGGCCUGUCCUGACGCUGAGACACGAAAGCGUGGGGAGCGAACGGGAUUAGAUACCCCGGGUAGUCCACGCUGUAACGAUGCCUACUAGGGUUGUGGCGGGUUCUGACGCCGGCACAGCCGAAGCAAAAGUGUUAGUAG
rnacentral:rRNA from 1 species